rnacentral:lncRNA from 1 species
UCCGAUCCCCCUCCUUGUUAAGAAGGUCCCGAAAGUACGCCUGCCACCUCUGUUUCAUUUGAGAUUCCCCCAUCAGAACUCUAUCAUCCUCGUCCUUGAUACACCUGACUUGGUCUAGAUCAUGUGCCUUCCUUUCCCUUGCUUUAGCCAACCAGAAUAACUUCUUAUCCCCACCUCUCUUCCCUAGUUCCUCAUACAUGCGACCGAACGCCGCGUCUUUAGCUUCCGUGACUGCCAUCUUAGC